rnacentral:rRNA from 1 species
GUGGGGAAUCUUAGACAAUGGGGGAAACCCUGAUCUAGCCAUGCCGCGUGAGCGAUGAAGGCCUUAGGGUUGUAAAGCUCUUUCAGCUGGGAAGAUAAUGACGGUACCAGCAGAAGAAGCCCCGGCUAACUCCGUGCCAGCAGCCGCGGUAAUACGGAGGGGGCUAGCGUUGUUCGGAAUUACUGGGCGUAAAGCGCGCGUAGGCGGACCAGAAAGUUGGAGGUGAAAUCCCAGGGCUCAACCUUGGAACUGCCUUCAAAACUCCUGGUCUGGAGUUCGAGAGAGGUGAGUGGAAUUCCGAGUGUAGAGGUGAAAUUCGUAGAUAUUCGGAGGAACACCAGUGGCGAAGGCGGCUCACUGGCUCGAUACUGACGCUGAGGUGCGAAAGCGUGGGGAGCAAACAGGAUUAGAUACCCUAGUAGUCC